UACAGAGGUCUCAAGCGUUGUUCGGAUUCAUUGGGCGUAAAGGGUGCGUAGGUGGCGCUGUAAGUCGGGUGUGAAAUUUCGGAGCUUAACUCCGAAACUGCAUUCGAUACUGCGGUGCUUGAGGACUGGAGAGGAGACUGGAAUUCAUGGUGUAGCAGUGAAAUGCGUAGAGAUCAUGAGGAAGACCAGUGGCGAAGGCGGGUCUCUGGACAGUUCCUGACACUGAGGAGCGAAAGCGUGGGGAGCGAACAGG
rnacentral:rRNA from 1 species